rnacentral:rRNA from 1 species
GACGAACGCUGGCGGCGUGCCUAAUACAUGCAAGUCGAGCGCAGGAAAUCGACGGAACCCUUCGGGGGGAAGUCGACGGAAUGAGCGGCGGACGGGUGAGUAACACGUAAAGAACCUGCCCUCAGGUCUGGGAUAACCACGAGAAAUCGGGGCUAAUACCGGAUGGGUCAUCGGACCGCAUGGUCCGAGGAUGAAAGGCGCUUCGGCGUCGCCUGGGGAUGGCUUUGCGGUGCAUUAGCUAGUUGGUGGGGUAAUGGCCCACCAAGGCGACGAGGCAUAGCCGACCUGAGCGGGGAUCGGCCACACUGGGACUGAGACACGGCCCAGACUCCUACGGGAGGCAGCAGUAGGGAAUCUUCCACAAUGGACGAAAGUCUGAUGGAGCAACGCCGCGUGAACGAUGAAGGCCUUCGGGUCGUAAAGUUCUGUUGUAAGGGAAGAACAAGUGCCGCAGGCAAUGGCGGCACCUUGACGGUACCUUGCGAGAAAGCCACGGCUAACUACGUGCCAGCCGCCGCCGUAA